UACGAAGGGGGCUAGCGUUGCUCGGAAUUACUGGGCGUAAAGGGCUCGUAGGCGGCCAACUAAGUCGGAUGUGAAAUCCCCAGGCUUAACCUGGGAACUGCAUCCGAUACUGGAUGGCUUGAAUCCGGGAGAGGGAUGCAGAAUUCCAGGUGUAGCGGUGAAAUGCGUAGAUAUCGUAAGGAAGACCAGUGGCGAAGGCGGGUCUCUGGACAGUUCCUGACGCUGAGGCACGAAGGCCAGGGGAGCAAACGGG
rnacentral:rRNA from 1 species